CAGUUGUUGUACUGGGUUGUGGUGGUACCAAAGUAAUGGGACAGAAGUGCUAGAACUGUAGUUUUGUAUCAGGCUGUGUUGGUGACAUAGUAAUGGGACAGAGGUGCCAGGUCUGCAGUUGUUGUACUGGGUUGUGGUGGUACCAAAGUAAUGGGACAGAAGUGCUAGAACUGUAGUUUUGUAUCAGGCUGUGUUGGUGACAUAGUAAUGGGACAGAGGUGCCAGGUCUGCAGUUGUUGUACUGGGUUGUGGUGGUACCAAAGUAAUGGGACAGAAGUGCUAGAACUGUAGUUUUGUAUCAGGCUGUGUUGGUGACAUAGUAAUGGGACAGAGGUGCCAGGUCUGCAGUUGUUGUACUGGGUUGUGGUGGUACCAAAGUAAUGGGACAGAAGUGCUAGAACUGUAGUUUUGUAUCAGGCUGUGUUGGUGACAUAGUAAUGGGACAGAGGUGCCAGGUCUGCAGUUGUUGUACUGGGUUGUGGUGGUACCAAAGUAAUGGGACAGAAGUGCUAGAACUGUAGUUUUGUAUCAGGCUGUGUUGGUGACAUAGUAAUGGGACAGAGGUGCCAGGUCUGCAGUUGUUGUACUGGGUUGUGGUGGUACCAAAGUAAUGGGACAGAAGUGCUAGAACUGUAGUUUUGUAUCAGGCUGUGUUGGUGACAUAGUAAUGGGACAGAGGUGUUAGUACUGCAGUUGUUGUACUGGGUUGUGGUGGUACCAAAGUAAUGGGACAGAAGUGCUAGAACUGUAGUUUUGUAUCAGGCUGUGUUGGUGACAUAGUAAUGGGACAGAGGUGCCAGGUCUGCAGUUGUUGUACUGGGUUGUGGUGGUACCAAAGUAAUGGGACAGAAGUGCUAGAACUGUAGUUUUGUAUCAGGCUGUGUUGGUGACAUAGUAAUGGGACAGAGGUGUUAGUACUGCAGUUGUUGUACUGGGUUGUGGUGGUACCAAAGUAAUGGGACAGAAGUGCUAGAACUGUAGUUUUGUAUCAGGCUGUGUUGGUGACAUAGUAAUGGGACAGAGGUGCCAGGUCUGCAGUUGUUGUACUGGGUUGUGGUGGUACCAAAGUAAUGGGACAGAAGUGCUAGAACUGUAGUUUUGUAUCAGGCUGUGUUGGUGACAUAGUAAUGGGACAGAGGUGUUAGUACUGCAGUUGUUGUACUGGGUUGUGGUGGUACCAAAGUAAUGGGACAGAAGUGCUAGAACUGUAGUUUUGUAUCAGGCUGUGUUGGUGACAUAGUAAUGGGACAGAGGUGCCAGGUCUGCAGUUGUUGUACUGGGUUGUGGUGGUACCAAAGUAAUGGGACAGAAGUGCUAGAACUGUAGUUUUGUAUCAGGCUGUGUUGGUGACAUAGUAAUGGGACAGAGGUGCCAGGACUGCAGUUGUUGUACUGGGUUGUGGUGGUACCAAAGUAAUGGGACAGAAGUGCUAGAACUGUAGUUUUGUAUCAGGCUGUGUUGGUGACAUAGUAAUGGGACAGAGGUGUUAGUACUGCAGUUGUUGUACUGGGUUGUGGUGGUACCAAAGUAAUGGGACAGAAGUGCUAGAACUGUAGUUUUGUAUCAGGCUGUGUUGGUGACAUAGUAAUGGGACAGAGGUGCCAGGUCUGCAGUUGUUGUACUGGGUUGUGGUGGUACCAAAGUAAUGGGACAGAAGUGCUAGAACUGUAGUUUUGUAUCAGGCUGUGUUGGUGACAUAGUAAUGGGACAGAGGUGUUAGUACUGCAGUUGUUGUACUGGGUUGUGGUGGUACCAAAGUAAUGGGACAGAAGUGCUAGAACUGUAGUUUUGUAUCAGGCUGUGUUGGUGACAUAGUAAUGGGACAGAGGUGUUAGUACUGCAGUUGUUGUACUGGGUUGUGGUGGUACCAAAGUAAUGGGACAGAAGUGCUAGAACUGUAGUUUUGUAUCAGGCUGUGUUGGUGACAUAGUAAUGGGACAGAGGUGCCAGGUCUGCAGUUGUUGUACUGGGUUGUGGUGGUACCAAAGUAAUGGGACAGAAGUGCUAGAACUGUAGUUUUGUAUCAGGCUGUGUUGGUGACAUAGUAAUGGGACAGAGGUGCCAGGUCUGCAGUUGUUGUACUGGGUUGUGGUGGUACCAAAGUAAUGGGACAGAAGUGCUAGAACUGUAGUUUUGUAUCAGGCUGUGUUGGUGACAUAGUAAUGGGACAGAGGUGCCAGGUCUGCAGUUGUUGUACUGGGUUGUGGUGGUACCAAAGUAAUGGGACAGAAGUGCUAGAACUGUAGUUUUGUAUCAGGCUGUGUUGGUGACAUAGUAAUGGGACAGAGGUGUUAGUACUGCAGUUGUUGUACUGGGUUGUGGUGGUACCAAAGUAAUGGGACAGAAGUGCUAGAACUGUAGUUUUGUAUCAGGCUGUGUUGGUGACAUAGUAAUGGGACAGAGGUGCCAGGUCUGCAGUUGUUGUACUGGGUUGUGGUGGUACCAAAGUAAUGGGACAGAAGUGCUAGAACUGUAGUUUUGUAUCAGGCUGUGUUGGUGACAUAGUAAUGGGACAGAAGUGCUAGAACUGUAGUUUUGUAUCAGGCUGUGUUGGUGACAUAGUAAUGGGACAGAGGUGUUAGUACUGCAGUUGUUGUACUGGGUUGUGGUGGUACCAAAGUAAUGGGACAGAAGUGCUAGAACUGUAGUUUUGUAUCAGGCUGUGUUGGUGACAUAGUAAUGGGACAGAGGUGCCAGGUCUGCAGUUGUUGUACUGGGUUGUGGUGGUACCAAAGUAAUGGGACAGAAGUGCUAGAACUGUAGUUUUGUAUCAGGCUGUGUUGGUGACAUAGUAAUGGGACAGAGGUGCCAGGUCUGCAGUUGUUGUACUGGGUUGUGGUGGUACCAAAGUAAUGGGACAGAAGUGCUAGAACUGUAGUUUUGUAUCAGGCUGUGUUGGUGACAUAGUAAUGGGACAGAGGUGUUAGUACUGCAGUUGUUGUACUGGGUUGUGGUGGUACCAAAGUAAUGGGACAGAAGUGCUAGAACUGUAGUUUUGUAUCAGGCUGUGUUGGUGACAUAGUAAUGGGACAGAGGUGCCAGGUCUGCAGUUGUUGUACUGGGUUGUGGUGGUACCAAAGUAAUGGGACAGAAGUGCUAGAACUGUAGUUUUGUAUCAGGCUGUGUUGGUGACAUAGUAAUGGGACAGAGGUGUUAGUACUGCAGUUGUUGUACUGGGUUGUGGUGGUACCAAAGUAAUGGGACAGAAGUGCUAGAACUGUAGUUUUGUAUCAGGCUGUGUUGGUGACAUAGUAAUGGGACAGAGGUGUUAGUACUGCAGUUGUUGUACUGGGUUGUGGUGGUACCAAAGUAAUGGGACAGAAGUGCUAGAACUGUAGUUUUGUAUCAGGCUGUGUUGGUGACAUAGUAAUGGGACAGAGGUGUUAGUACUGCAGUUGUUGUACUGGGUUGUGGUGGUACCAAAGUAAUGGGACAGAAGUGCUAGAACUGUAGUUUUGUAUCAGGCUGUGUUGGUGACAUAGUAAUGGGACAGAGGUGCCAGGUCUGCAGUUGUUGUACUGGGUUGUGGUGGUACCAAAGUAAUGGGACAGAAGUGCUAGAACUGUAGUUUUGUAUCAGGCUGUGUUGGUGACAUAGUAAUGGGACAGAGGUGCCAGGUCUGCAGUUGUUGUACUGGGUUGUGGUGGUACCAAAGUAAUGGGACAGAAGUGCUAGAACUGUAGUUUUGUAUCAGGCUGUGUUGGUGACAUAGUAAUGGGACAGAAGUGCUAGAACUGUAGUUUUGUAUCAGGCUGUGUUGGUGACAUAGUAAUGGGACAGAGGUGCCAGGUCUGCAGUUGUUGUACUGGGUUGUGGUGGUACCAAAGUAAUGGGACAGAAGUGCUAGAACUGUAGUUUUGUAUCAGGCUGUGUUGGUGACAUAGUAAUGGGACAGAGGUGCCAGGUCUGCAGUUGUUGUACUGGGUUGUGGUGGUACCAAAGUAAUGGGACAGAAGUGCUAGAACUGUAGUUUUGUAUCAGGCUGUGUUGGUGACAUAGUAAUGGGACAGAGGUGUUAGUACUGCAGUUGUUGUACUGGGUUGUGGUGGUACCAAAGUAAUGGGACAGAAGUGCUAGAACUGUAGUUUUGUAUCAGGCUGUGUUGGUGACAUAGUAAUGGGACAGAGGUGUUAGUACUGCAGUUGUUGUACUGGGUUGUGGUGGUACCAAAGUAAUGGGACAGAAGUGCUAGAACUGUAGUUUUGUAUCAGGCUGUGUUGGUGACAUAGUAAUGGGACAGAGGUGCCAGGUCUGCAGUUGUUGUACUGGGUUGUGGUGGUACCAAAGUAAUGGGACAGAAGUGCUAGAACUGUAGUUUUGUAUCAGGCUGUGUUGGUGACAUAGUAAUGGGACAGAGGUGUUAGUACUGCAGUUGUUGUAUCAGGCUGUGUUGGUGACAUAGUAAUGGGACAGAGGUGUUAGUACUGCAGUUGUUGUACUGGGUUGUGGUGGUACCAAAGUAAUGGGACAGAAGUGCUAGAACUGUAGUUUUGUAUCAGGCUGUGUUGGUGACAUAGUAAUGGGACAGAGGUGCCAGGUCUGCAGUUGUUGUACUGGGUUGUGGUGGUACCAAAGUAAUGGGACAGAAGUGCUAGAACUGUAGUUUUGUAUCAGGCUGUGUUGGUGACAUAGUAAUGGGACAGAGGUGCCAGGUCUGCAGUUGUUGUACUGGGUUGUGGUGGUACCAAAGUAAUGGGACAGAAGUGCUAGAACUGUAGUUUUGUAUCAGGCUGUGUUGGUGACAUAGUAAUGGGACAGAGGUGCCAGGUCUGCAGUUGUUGUACUGGGUUGUGGUGGUACCAAAGUAAUGGGACAGAAGUGCUAGAACUGUAGUUUUGUAUCAGGCUGUGUUGGUGACAUAGUAAUGGGACAGAGGUGCCAGGUCUGCAGUUGUUGUACUGGGUUGUGGUGGUACCAAAGUAAUGGGACAGAAGUGCUAGAACUGUAGUUUUGUAUCAGGCUGUGUUGGUGACAUAGUAAUGGGACAGAGGUGUUAGUACUGCAGUUGUUGUACUGGGUUGUGGUGGUACCAAAGUAAUGGGACAGAAGUGCUAGAACUGUAGUUUUGUAUCAGGCUGUGUUGGUGACAUAGUAAUGGGACAGAGGUGUUAGUACUGCAGUUGUUGUACUGGGUUGUGGUGGUACCAAAGUAAUGGGACAGAAGUGCUAGAACUGUAGUUUUGUAUCAGGCUGUGUUGGUGACAUAGUAAUGGGACAGAGGUGCCAGGUCUGCAGUUGUUGUACUGGGUUGUGGUGGUACCAAAGUAAUGGGACAGAAGUGCUAGAACUGUAGUUUUGUAUCAGGCUGUGUUGGUGACAUAGUAAUGGGACAGAGGUGCCAGGUCUGCAGUUGUUGUACUGGGUUGUGGUGGUACCAAAGUAAUGGGACAGAAGUGCUAGAACUGUAGUUUUGUAUCAGGCUGUGUUGGUGACAUAGUAAUGGGACAGAGGUGCCAGGUCUGCAGUUGUUGUACUGGGUUGUGGUGGUACCAAAGUAAUGGGACAGAAGUGCUAGAACUGUAGUUUUGUAUCAGGCUGUGUUGGUGACAUAGUAAUGGGACAGAGGUGCCAGGUCUGCAGUUGUUGUACUGGGUUGUGGUGGUACCAAAGUAAUGGGACAGAAGUGCUAGAACUGUAGUUUUGUAUCAGGCUGUGUUGGUGACAUAGUAAUGGGACAGAGGUGCCAGGACUGCAGUUGUUGUACUGGGUUGUGGUGGUACCAAAGUAAUGGGACAGAAGUGCUAGAACUGUAGUUUUGUAUCAGGCUGUGUUGGUGACAUAGUAAUGGGACAGAGGUGUUAGUACUGCAGUUGUUGUACUGGGUUGUGGUGGUACCAAAGUAAUGGGACAGAAGUGCUAGAACUGUAGUUUUGUAUCAGGCUGUGUUGGUGACAUAGUAAUGGGACAGAGGUGCCAGGUCUGCAGUUGUUGUACUGGGUUGUGGUGGUACCAAAGUAAUGGGACAGAAGUGCUAGAACUGUAGUUUUGUAUCAGGCUGUGUUGGUGACAUAGUAAUGGGACAGAGGUGUUAGUACUGCAGUUGUUGUACUGGGUUGUGGUGGUACCAAAGUAAUGGGACAGAAGUGCUAGAACUGUAGUUUUGUAUCAGGCUGUGUUGGUGACAUAGUAAUGGGACAGAGGUGUUAGUACUGCAGUUGUUGUACUGGGUUGUGGUGGUACCAAAGUAAUGGGACAGAAGUGCUAGAACUGUAGUUUUGUAUCAGGCUGUGUUGGUGACAUAGUAAUGGGACAGAGGUGCCAGGUCUGCAGUUGUUGUACUGGGUUGUGGUGGUACCAAAGUAAUGGGACAGAAGUGCUAGAACUGUAGUUUUGUAUCAGGCUGUGUUGGUGACAUAGUAAUGGGACAGAGGUGCCAGGUCUGCAGUUGUUGUACUGGGUUGUGGUGGUACCAAAGUAAUGGGACAGAAGUGCUAGAACUGUAGUUUUGUAUCAGGCUGUGUUGGUGACAUAGUAAUGGGACAGAGGUGCCAGGUCUGCAGUUGUUGUACUGGGUUGUGGUGGUACCAAAGUAAUGGGACAGAAGUGCUAGAACUGUAGUUUUGUAUCAGGCUGUGUUGGUGACAUAGUAAUGGGACAGAGGUGCCAGGUCUGCAGUUGUUGUACUGGGUUGUGGUGGUACCAAAGUAAUGGGACAGAAGUGCUAGAACUGUAGUUUUGUAUCAGGCUGUGUUGGUGACAUAGUAAUGGGACAGAGGUGCCAGGUCUGCAGUUGUUGUACUGGGUUGUGGUGGUACCAAAGUAAUGGGACAGAAGUGCUAGAACUGUAGUUUUGUAUCAGGCUGUGUUGGUGACAUAGUAAUGGGACAGAGGUGCCAGGUCUGCAGUUGUUGUACUGGGUUGUGGUGGUACCAAAGUAAUGGGACAGAAGUGCUAGAACUGUAGUUUUGUAUCAGGCUGUGUUGGUGACAUAGUAAUGGGACAGAGGUGUUAGUACUGCAGUUGUUGUACUGGGUUGUGGUGGUACCAAAGUAAUGGGACAGAAGUGCUAGAACUGUAGUUUUGUAUCAGGCUGUGUUGGUGACAUAGUAAUGGGACAGAGGUGCCAGGUCUGCAGUUGUUGUACUGGGUUGUGGUGGUACCAAAGUAAUGGGACAGAAGUGCUAGAACUGUAGUUUUGUAUCAGGCUGUGUUGGUGACAUAGUAAUGGGACAGAGGUGCCAGGUCUGCAGUUGUUGUACUGGGUUGUGGUGGUACCAAAGUAAUGGGACAGAAGUGCUAGAACUGUAGUUUUGUAUCAGGCUGUGUUGGUGACAUAGUAAUGGGACAGAGGUGUUAGGACUGCAGUUGUUGUACUGGGUUGUGGUGGUACCAAAGUAAUGGGACAGAAGUGCUAGAACUGUAGUUUUGUAUCAGGCUGUGUUGGUGACAUAGUAAUGGGACAGAGGUGCCAGGUCUGCAGUUGUUGUACUGGGUUGUGGUGGUACCAAAGUAAUGGGACAGAAGUGCUAGAACUGUAGUUUUGUAUCAGGCUGUGUUGGUGACAUAGUAAUGGGACAGAGGUGUUAGUACUGCAGUUGUUGUACUGGGUUGUGGUGGUACCAAAGUAAUGGGACAGAAGUGCUAGAACUGUAGUUUUGUAUCAGGCUGUGUUGGUGACAUAGUAAUGGGACAGAGGUGCCAGGUCUGCAGUUGUUGUACUGGGUUGUGGUGGUACCAAAGUAAUGGGACAGAAGUGCUAGAACUGUAGUUUUGUAUCAGGCUGUGUUGGUGACAUAGUAAUGGGACAGAGGUGCCAGGUCUGCAGUUGUUGUACUGGGUUGUGGUGGUACCAAAGUAAUGGGACAGAAGUGCUAGAACUGUAGUUUUGUAUCAGGCUGUGUUGGUGACAUAGUAAUGGGACAGAGGUGCCAGGUCUGCAGUUGUUGUACUGGGUUGUGGUGGUACCAAAGUAAUGGGACAGAAGUGCUAGAACUGUAGUUUUGUAUCAGGCUGUGUUGGUGACAUAGUAAUGGGACAGAGGUGUUAGUACUGCAGUUGUUGUACUGGGUUGUGGUGGUACCAAAGUAAUGGGACAGAAGUGCUAGAACUGUAGUUUUGUAUCAGGCUGUGUUGGUGACAUAGUAAUGGGACAGAGGUGCCAGGUCUGCAGUUGUUGUACUGGGUUGUGGUGGUACCAAAGUAAUGGGACAGAAGUGCUAGAACUGUAGUUUUGUAUCAGGCUGUGUUGGUGACAUAGUAAUGGGACAGAGGUGCCAGGUCUGCAGUUGUUGUACUGGGUUGUGGUGGUACCAAAGUAAUGGGACAGAAGUGCUAGAACUGUAGUUUUGUAUCAGGCUGUGUUGGUGACAUAGUAAUGGGACAGAGGUGUUAGUACUGCAGUUGUUGUACUGGGUUGUGGUGGUACCAAAGUAAUGGGACAGAAGUGCUAGAACUGUAGUUUUGUAUCAGGCUGUGUUGGUGACAUAGUAAUGGGACAGAGGUGUUAGUACUGCAGUUGUUGUACUGGGUUGUGGUGGUACCAAAGUAAUGGGACAGAAGUGCUAGAACUGUAGUUUUGUAUCAGGCUGUGUUGGUGACAUAGUAAUGGGACAGAGGUGCCAGGUCUGCAGUUGUUGUACUGGGUUGUGGUGGUACCAAAGUAAUGGGACAGAAGUGCUAGAACUGUAGUUUUGUAUCAGGCUGUGUUGGUGACAUAGUAAUGGGACAGAGGUGCCAGGACUGCAGUUGUUGUACUGGGUUGUGGUGGUACCAAAGUAAUGGGACAGAAGUGCUAGAACUGUAGUUUUGUAUCAGGCUGUGUUGGUGACAUAGUAAUGGGACAGAGGUGCCAGGUCUGCAGUUGUUGUACUGGGUUGUGGUGGUACCAAAGUAAUGGGACAGAAGUGCUAGAACUGUAGUUUUGUAUCAGGCUGUGUUGGUGACAUAGUAAUGGGACAGAGGUGCCAGGUCUGCAGUUGUUGUACUGGGUUGUGGUGGUACCAAAGUAAUGGGACAGAAGUGCUAGAACUGUAGUUUUGUAUCAGGCUGUGUUGGUGACAUAGUAAUGGGACAGAGGUGCCAGGUCUGCAGUUGUUGUACUGGGUUGUGGUGGUACCAAAGUAAUGGGACAGAAGUGCUAGAACUGUAGUUUUGUAUCAGGCUGUGUUGGUGACAUAGUAAUGGGACAGAGGUGUUAGUACUGCAGUUGUUGUACUGGGUUGUGGUGGUACCAAAGUAAUGGGACAGAAGUGCUAGAACUGUAGUUUUGUAUCAGGCUGUGUUGGUGACAUAGUAAUGGGACAGAGGUGUUAGUACUGCAGUUGUUGUACUGGGUUGUGGUGGUACCAAAGUAAUGGGACAGAAGUGCUAGAACUGUAGUUUUGUAUCAGGCUGUGUUGGUGACAUAGUAAUGGGACAGAGGUGCCAGGUCUGCAGUUGUUGUACUGGGUUGUGGUGGUACCAAAGUAAUGGGACAGAAGUGCUAGAACUGUAGUUUUGUAUCAGGCUGUGUUGGUGACAUAGUAAUGGGACAGAGGUGCCAGGUCUGCAGUUGUUGUACUGGGUUGUGGUGGUACCAAAGUAAUGGGACAGAAGUGCUAGAACUGUAGUUUUGUAUCAGGCUGUGUUGGUGACAUAGUAAUGGGACAGAGGUGUUAGUACUGCAGUUGUUGUACUGGGUUGUGGUGGUACCAAAGUAAUGGGACAGAAGUGCUAGAACUGUAGUUUUGUAUCAGGCUGUGUUGGUGACAUAGUAAUGGGACAGAGGUGUUAGUACUGCAGUUGUUGUACUGGGUUGUGGUGGUACCAAAGUAAUGGGACAGAAGUGCUAGAACUGUAGUUUUGUAUCAGGCUGUGUUGGUGACAUAGUAAUGGGACAGAGGUGCCAGGUCUGCAGUUGUUGUACUGGGUUGUGGUGGUACCAAAGUAAUGGGACAGAAGUGCUAGAACUGUAGUUUUGUAUCAGGCUGUGUUGGUGACAUAGUAAUGGGACAGAGGUGCCAGGUCUGCAGUUGUUGUACUGGGUUGUGGUGGUACCAAAGUAAUGGGACAGAAGUGCUAGAACUGUAGUUUUGUAUCAGGCUGUGUUGGUGACAUAGUAAUGGGACAGAGGUGCCAGGUCUGCAGUUGUUGUACUGGGUUGUGGUGGUACCAAAGUAAUGGGACAGAAGUGCUAGAACUGUAGUUUUGUAUCAGGCUGUGUUGGUGACAUAGUAAUGGGACAGAGGUGCCAGGUCUGCAGUUGUUGUACUGGGUUGUGGUGGUACCAAAGUAAUGGGACAGAAGUGCUAGAACUGUAGUUUUGUAUCAGGCUGUGUUGGUGACAUAGUAAUGGGACAGAGGUGUUAGUACUGCAGUUGUUGUACUGGGUUGUGGUGGUACCAAAGUAAUGGGACAGAAGUGCUAGAACUGUAGUUUUGUAUCAGGCUGUGUUGGUGACAUAGUAAUGGGACAGAGGUGUUAGUACUGCAGUUGUUGUACUGGGUUGUGGUGGUACCAAAGUAAUGGGACAGAAGUGCUAGAACUGUAGUUUUGUAUCAGGCUGUGUUGGUGACAUAGUAAUGGGACAGAGGUGCCAGGUCUGCAGUUGUUGUACUGGGUUGUGGUGGUACCAAAGUAAUGGGACAGAAGUGCUAGAACUGUAGUUUUGUAUCAGGCUGUGUUGGUGACAUAGUAAUGGGACAGAGGUGCCAGGUCUGCAGUUGUUGUACUGGGUUGUGGUGGUACCAAAGUAAUGGGACAGAAGUGCUAGAACUGUAGUUUUGUAUCAGGCUGUGUUGGUGACAUAGUAAUGGGACAGAGGUGCCAGGUCUGCAGUUGUUGUACUGGGUUGUGGUGGUACCAAAGUAAUGGGACAGAAGUGCUAGAACUGUAGUUUUGUAUCAGGCUGUGUUGGUGACAUAGUAAUGGGACAGAGGUGCCAGGUCUGCAGUUGUUGUACUGCAGUUGUUGUACUGGGUUGUGGUGGUACCAAAGUAAUGGGACAGAAGUGCUAGAACUGUAGUUUUGUAUCAGGCUGUGUUGGUGACAUAGUAAUGGGACAGAGGUGCCAGGUCUGCAGUUGUUGUACUGGGUUGUGGUGGUACCAAAGUAAUGGGACAGAAGUGCUAGAACUGUAGUUUUGUAUCAGGCUGUGUUGGUGACAUAGUAAUGGGACAGAGGUGUUAGGACUGCAGUUGUUGUACUGGGUUGUGGUGGUACCAAAGUAAUGGGACAGAAGUGCUAGAACUGUAGUUUUGUAUCAGGCUGUGUUGGUGACAUAGUAAUGGGACAGAGGUGCCAGGUCUGCAGUUGUUGUACUGGGUUGUGGUGGUACCAAAGUAAUGGGACAGAAGUGCUAGAACUGUAGUUUUGUAUCAGGCUGUGUUGGUGACAUAGUAAUGGGACAGAGGUGCCAGGUCUGCAGUUGUUGUACUGGGUUGUGGUGGUACCAAAGUAAUGGGACAGAAGUGCUAGAACUGUAGUUUUGUAUCAGGCUGUGUUGGUGACAUAGUAAUGGGACAGAGGUGUUAGUACUGCAGUUGUUGUACUGGGUUGUGGUGGUACCAAAGUAAUGGGACAGAAGUGCUAGAACUGUAGUUUUGUAUCAGGCUGUGUUGGUGACAUAGUAAUGGGACAGAGGUGUUAGUACUGCAGUUGUUGUACUGGGUUGUGGUGGUACCAAAGUAAUGGGACAGAAGUGCUAGAACUGUAGUUUUGUAUCAGGCUGUGUUGGUGACAUAGUAAUGGGACAGAGGUGUUAGGACUGCAGUUGUUGUACUGGGUUGUGGUGGUACCAAAGUAAUGGGACAGAAGUGCUAGAACUGUAGUUUUGUAUCAGGCUGUGUUGGUGACAUAGUAAUGGGACAGAGGUGCCAGGUCUGCAGUUGUUGUACUGGGUUGUGGUGGUACCAAAGUAAUGGGACAGAAGUGCUAGAACUGUAGUUUUGUAUCAGGCUGUGUUGGUGACAUAGUAAUGGGACAGAGGUGUUAGGACUGCAGUUGUUGUACUGGGUUGUGGUGGUACCAAAGUAAUGGGACAGAAGUGCUAGAACUGUAGUUUUGUAUCAGGCUGUGUUGGUGACAUAGUAAUGGGACAGAGGUGUUAGUACUGCAGUUGUUGUACUGGGUUGUGGUGGUACCAAAGUAAUGGGACAGAAGUGCUAGAACUGUAGUUUUGUAUCAGGCUGUGUUGGUGACAUAGUAAUGGGACAGAGGUGCCAGGUCUGCAGUUGUUGUACUGGGUUGUGGUGGUACCAAAGUAAUGGGACAGAAGUGCUAGAACUGUAGUUUUGUAUCAGGCUGUGUUGGUGACAUAGUAAUGGGACAGAGGUGCCAGGUCUGCAGUUGUUGUACUGGGUUGUGGUGGUACCAAAGUAAUGGGACAGAAGUGCUAGAACUGUAGUUUUGUAUCAGGCUGUGUUGGUGACAUAGUAAUGGGACAGAGGUGCCAGGUCUGCAGUUGUUGUACUGGGUUGUGGUGGUACCAAAGUAAUGGGACAGAAGUGCUAGAACUGUAGUUUUGUAUCAGGCUGUGUUGGUGACAUAGUAAUGGGACAGAGGUGCCAGGUCUGCAGUUGUUGUACUGGGUUGUGGUGGUACCAAAGUAAUGGGACAGAAGUGCUAGAACUGUAGUUUUGUAUCAGGCUGUGUUGGUGACAUAGUAAUGGGACAGAGGUGUUAG